rnacentral:rRNA from 1 species
UACAGAGGGUGCAAGCGUUAAUCGGAAUUACUGGGCGUAAAGGGAGCGUAGGCGGACAUUUAAGUCAGGGGUGAAAUCCCAGAGCUCAACUCUGGAACUGCCUUUGAUACUGGGUGUCUUGAGUGUGAGAGAGGUAUGUGGAACUCCGAGUGUAGAGGUGAAAUUCGUAGAUAUUCGGAAGAACACCAGUGGCGAAGGCGACAUACUGGCUCAUUACUGACGCUGAGGCUCGAAAGCGUGGGGAGCAAACAGG